CCUACGGGGGGCUGCAGUGAGGAAUAUUGGUCAAUGGACGAGAGUCUGAACCAGCCAAGUAGCGUGAAGGAUGACUGCCCUAUGGGUUGUAAACUUCUUUUAUAUGGGAAUAAAAUGUUCCACGUGUGGGAUUUUGUAUGUACCAUAUGAAUAAGGAUCGGCUAACUCCGUGCCAGCAGCCGCGGUAAUACGGUGGAUCCGAGCGUUAUCCGGAUUUAUUGGGUUUAAAGGGAGCGUAGGUGGAUUGUUAAGUCAGUUGUGAAAGUUUGCGGCUCAACCGUAAAAUUGCAGUUGAAACUGGCAGUCUUGAGUACAGUAGAGGUGGGCGGAAUUCGUGGUGUAGCGGUGAAAUGCUUAGAUAUCACGAAGAACUCCGAUUGCGAAGGCAGUUCACUGGACUGCAACUGACACUGAGGCUCGAAAGUGUGGGUAUCAAACAGGAUUAGAUACCCGUGUAGUC
rnacentral:rRNA from 1 species